GUGGGGAAUUUUGGACAAUGGGGGCAACCCUGAUCCAGCCAUCCCGCGUGUGCGAUGAAGGCCUUCGGGUUGUAAAGCACUUUUGGCAGGAAAGAAAUCGCACGGGAUAAUACCUCGUGUGGAUGACGGUACCUGCAGAAUAAGCACCGGCUAACUACGUGCCAGCAGCCGCGGUAAUACGUAGGGUGCAAGCGUUAAUCGGAAUUACUGGGCGUAAAGCGUGCGCAGGCGGUUCGGAAAGAAAGAUGUGAAAUCCCAGGGCUUAACCUUGGAACUGCAUUUUUAACUACCGGGCUAGAGUGUGUCAGAGGGGGGUGGAAUUCCGCGUGUAGCAGUGAAAUGCGUAGAUAUGCGGAGGAACACCGAUGGCGAAGGCAGCCCCCUGGGAUAACACUGACGCUCAUGCACGAAAGCGUGGGGAGCAAACAGGAUUAGAAACCCUGGUAGUCC
rnacentral:rRNA from 1 species